rnacentral:rRNA from 1 species
AUGAUGGAAGAGGUGUAUAUGGAGAUUCCUCCAGGAUUCAAUAGCUGUGAGACUGAAGGCAAGGUUUGUAAACUAAAAAAAAAAUCCCUCUAUGGUCUAAAACAAUCACCUCGAGCAUGGUUUGGAAGGUUUAGAAAAGGAAUGUGCUCCUUGGGAUAUCAACAGAGCAAUGCUGAUCACACUCUCUUCUUUAGACGUCAUCGUGAUAAGAUUACUAUACUGACUGUAUAUGUUGAUGAUAUAGUAAUCACAGGGGAUGAUGUUGAGGAGAUAUCAUACUUGAAGAAGAUGAUGGCUAAAAUAUUUGAAGUUAAAGACUUGGGCUAUCUUCAUUAUUUUCUGGGGAUUGAAGUUGUUUAUGGGGCACAAGGUAUUUACCUCUCUCAAAGGAAGUAUGCACUUGAUCUUCUUAAUGAAACAUGUAUGUUAGGAUGCAAACCAGCGGCCACACCUAUUGAGCAAAAUCAUCGUACCUUGGCAGACUCAGGUGACCCCGUAGACAAAUACCAAUAUCAGAGGUUAGUUGGCCGUUUAAUCUAUUUAUCGCACACAAGGCCAGAUAUUGAAUAUGCAGUUAGUGUUGUAAGCCGUUAUAUGCAUGAUCCUCGUUCAGGCCAUCUAGAAGUGGUAAAUCGAAUUUUGAGAUAUCUAAAAGGCUGUCCAGGGAAGGGAAUCUUAUUUUCUAAUCAUGGACAUUUGAAGGUAGAGGGAUAUGCUGAUGCAGAUUGGCUGGAUGUCUAG